GACGAACGCUGGCGGCGUGCUUAACACAUGCAAGUCGAACGGAGAAUUUAUUUCGGUAAAUUCUUAGUGGCGAACGGGUGAGUAACGCGUGGGCAACCUGCCCUUCAGAUGGGGACAACAUCCCGAAAGGGGUGCUAAUACCGAAUACGACCACGCUGCCGCAUGGCGGUGGGAUGAAAGAUGGCCUCUAUUUAUAAGCUAUCGCUGAAGGAUGGGACUGCGUCUGAUUAGCUAGUUGGUGGGGUAACGGCCUACCAAGGCGAAGAUCAGUAGCCGGUCUGAGAGGAUGAACGGCCACAUUGGGACUGAGACACGGCCCAAACUCCUACGGGAGGCAGCAGUGGGGAAUAUUCCGCAAUGGACGAAAGUCUGACGGAGCAACGCCGCGUGAGUGAUGAAGGUUUUCGGACUGUAAAACUCUGUUGUUUAGGACGAAAGUGCCUGUUGCAAAUAGUUGCAGGUAUUGACGGUACUGAACGAGGAAGCCACGGCUAACUACGUGCCAGCAGCCGCCGUAA
rnacentral:rRNA from 1 species